GCCAGUGUGGUGUAGUGGUUUGAACAUUGGACUAUGAUUCUGGAGACCAGAGUUCAAAUCACAGCUUGGCCA